rnacentral:misc_RNA from 1 species
AGAUCCAGAUGCUGAAGUUAUUGCACUCUCACCAAAGUCACUCAUGGCAACAAACAGAUUCAUAUGUGAGAUUUGCAAUAAGGGUUUUCAAAGGGACCAAAAUUUGCAACUUCAUAGAAGAGGACACAAUCUUCCAUGGAAGCUAAAGCAAAGAAACAAGCUAGAACAAGUGAAGAAGAAAGUGUAUAUAUGUCCAGAAAAGACAUGUAUUCACCACGAUCCAUCGCGUGCACUUGGCGACCUAACUGGAAUUAAGAAACAUUUUAGUAGAAAACAUGGAGAAAAGAAGUGGAAAUGUGAAAAAUGUUCAAAGAAAUAUG